GGACCCGCACAAGCGGUGGAGCAUGUGGUUUAAUUCGAUGCAACGCGAAAAACCUUACCUACUCUUGACAUACUUGGAAGCUCUUGUAAUGAGAGUGUGCCUUUUGGAACCAAGAUACAGGUGCUGCAUGGCUGUCGUCAGCUCGUGUCGUGAGAUGUUCCGUUAAGUCGGAUAACGAGCGCAACCCUUACCCUUAUUUGCCAGCGAUUCGGUCGGGAACUAUAAGGGGACUGCCGGUGAUAAACCGGAGGAAGGUGAGGACGACGUCAAGUCAUCAUGGCCCUUACGAGUAGGGCUACACACGUGCUACAAUGGGGAAUACAGACGGACGCUAAGCCGCGAGGUGGUGCUAAUCCUAGAAAGCUGCUCUUAGUCCGGAUUGGAGUCUGCAACUCGACUCCAUGAAGUUGGAAUCGCUAGUAA
rnacentral:rRNA from 1 species